GGGCGAAUGGCUCAGUCGGUAGAGCGCCUGCUUCACAUGUAGGAGGUCACAGGUUCAAGUCCUGUUUCGCCCA
rnacentral:tRNA from 1 species